AUACGGGGGGUGCAAGCGUUAAUCGGAAUUACUGGGCGUAAAGCGCGCGUAGGCGGUUUGCUCAGUCGGAUGUGAAAGCCCAGGGCUCAACCUUGGAACUGCAUACGAUACUGGCAAACUAGAGCGUGAGAGAGGAUAGUGGAAUUUCCGGUGUAGCGGUGAAAUGCGUAGAUAUCGGAAGGAACAUCAGUGGCGAAGGCGACUGUCUGGCUCAACACUGACGCUGAGGUGCGAAAGCGUGGGUAGCAAACAGGAUUAGAAACCCUAGUAGUCC
rnacentral:rRNA from 1 species